AAUCAGAAUUUCAAUUCAUUCACAUUGUCAAUAUGUAUAUCAAUAGACUCGGAGGUUAAAUUUUCCUUCCUUCUAUCGACGCAGUUUCCCCCCAUAUUUUUCAACGGGGGUUUGGGGGCAGCGCCCCCAAGGUGGGGUCAAUGGGCCAAAAAAACUUAUUCUUUAAUAAAGGCGUUGGGUGUUAUUUUUCUAUUGACUCACUGAGUUUGGCUAUUUUCUAAUCUCUGUGUCAAAAUGCCCAAAGGCUACACUGCUGCCAUAUAAUUUCAUUGUCAAAAUUAUGAAUAAAAUUAAUAAAUUUAAAAUUUAAUUAAUGUUAUCUUUUAAUUUUUUUAAUUUUUAAUAACAAUUUGAAUUAAUAAGGGGCCUACAUUAGAAAAUUUAAAUAAAAAAUUGAAAAUACAACUUUUUUAAUUUUUUAAUAUUUUUUAAGGGCCUUAGAUAUGGGGGACGUCUGGCUGUCCCCGGGACGGAUUGGGGACGUCCCAGCCAUCCCCGGGACGUAUGGACGUCCCCCAGAGCUAGGGCAGGCGUCCCCCUGUUUCGGGGACGCCCCCUCAAAAUACAGGCCAAUUUGGGGACGGGGGGAAACGUCCCCUGGCCAUCCCCAAGUCCCCGAAACGUCCCCGGGACAGGGACGGGGGUUUUCAGGUCAGGGACGCGUCCCUGGGUAGCUCUGUUAUAACUAUAAUUUUGACUUGGCCUAUUGAGCUAAUAUUUAACUGUUGCUUUAUUCCCUACGAGGCACUGAUAUUUGUGAUGGAUCCUGGAAGAUGUGUAUAAAUCUAUUUAGUAGGUGUAUGUGCAUGUAGGCUUGCUUAAUACAUUUUAAUAUUUUACUGAAAUGCAUCCUAGGGCCUACUAAUUGUGAUAACACACAUAGUGUAACUCAUAAUAUUCUUCUUGUGGGAGGUUUAUAAAUAGGAGCUUUGUGCCUUUAGCAAUUUAUAAAAAGGCCGUGAUAAGUGAUUCUGAUGUGUUGUAUAAUUUAUUACUGGCAUCUCUCUAUUGUGUUAUUGUAAUAUAAUGAUGCUUAGAUGAAUGUUAUCCAAUGGUGGAUUAGAGUAGUUGAUGUUUGUUUCUUCCAUAAAUCUUUGUUAAAUUUAAGGAGAUUCACAUUUGGUUCUAACAUGGUUCUAGAGUGUUAGGGUUACCGCUUGAAGCUUUUGAAGCAUUUUGGAGAGAUCUACGUCUACAGGGCUGGAAGGAGCAUUAAGAGUUUGGGGAAAUUUUCAAUUUUUUGAACUGAGGCCAAAUCUUUCUCAUCUGUUUGAUCUAGUUAUAGAUCUGGUGGCAGGAAGGCUAGGGAUCAAACAAAGAGCUCCAACUCUUUACACUUUGGGAGUAAUUGAGUGUUGAGGAGGGGUAGAUUGCAAACAAAGGUUCUAGGUUGUGAUGCUGGGGCAGCAACUUUUUGUUUCUCAUAAUAAAUUAAAGAAAUGUUAGCUGGUGGUGGCACUUCAAGCAGUGCUACUAAUAUCACACUUUUGCAAGUGAAGACUCAAGCUAGCUGGGCCGCUUCACAGGCCUUUGAGGAAUACUUGGAGGAAGGCUAUCAAGCUAAACUGGUGUGGUUGGGCAUUGUGUGCGAGGAUAACAUUGACGGGAGCAUAUGGAGCUUGAAGGCAUGUAAACAAUAGUUUUCCAUGUAAGAAGAUGCAUCAAGUGAAUCUUUCAAGUGGAAGGUAGGAAUGUGUAGAAAUGGGCAUGUGGGCCUAGGUUUUGAAGGAGUAAAGGAUGAGUUUUAGGCUAUGCAGAAGUUGUGAAGGAGCAUGUGGAAUUUUUGUGAAGGGUGACUAAAGGAGGUGUGUGAAGUCAGGUUGUGGCAUUUAACCACAUGAGAAAAUGUGACAGGUUACAGGUGAUGUAAGGAGUGUACUGUGCAGUGUAAGCAUAAAGGGCUGACAUAAUAACAUAUAGUACUCAUGAUAGGAGCAGUGUGUGCGUGGAGACAAGCAAAGGUAGGAAUCUAGAACAACAUAUGGGAGAAUCCCCAAGAGUGGACUAUAACAGUGCAGUAAGAGGAUGCGUGGAGUGGCAUUGCACCAAGAAGUUAAAGGAGCUCAAAAGAGUACUUAAGGCAAGUGAUAGGGAAAGGGUGGGGGGUAACUUUAAGGCACCACAACAAACAUAUGAUGAUGUAUUAGAGACCGUAAGUUUCAUUUUUAACACAAAUGGGUGAUAAAUUUUUUAAAGCAAUUCAACUCGCUGAUAUAGGUUAUGGGUUCAAUUCCAAUUAUGUUUAUUUUAUAAAGGAGGUGACUUUUUUUGUUAUUAAUCAUUUGAAUAGGAGGAAAAGUGGUAUAAAAAGGUUGGUAGGACAAAUCUUUGAACCAAGAACUGUUCAGCAAUGUGGUUUUUGUGUCACCAUUCAAAUCAAUCUGUUAUAAGUUACA